UGGGGAAUAUUGCACAAUGGGCGCAAGCCUGAUGCAGCCAUGCCGCGUGUGUGAAGAAGGCCUUCGGGUUGUAAAGCACUUUCAGCGGGGAGGAAGGCGUUAAGGUUAAUAACCUUGGCGAUUGACGUUACCCGCAGAAGAAGCACCGGCUAACUCCGCGCCAGCAGCCGCGGUAAUACGGAGGGUGCAAGCGUUAAUCGGAAUUACUGGGCGUAAAGCGCACGCAGGCGGUCUGUCAAGUCGGAUGUGAAAUCCCCGGGCUCAACCUGGGAACUGCAUUCGAAACUGGCAGGCUAGAGGCUUGUAGAGGGGGGUAGAAUUCCAGGUGUAGCGGUGAAAUGCGUAGAGAUCUGGAGGAAUACCGGUGGGGAAGGCGGCCCCCUGGACAAAGACUGACGCUCAGGUGCGAAAGCGUAGGGAGCAAACAGG
rnacentral:rRNA from 1 species